UCCCCACCUGGAGCUGCUGUGGACCUGGGCGGCGCUGCUCCUGCUGCUGCUGGCAGCCGCGGCCGGGCUGUGUGUGCGCUGCUCCGGUCCAGGUGGGAAGACGAGAACAAGCCAGAAAAUCUAUGAGCAGAGGAGUCUACAGGAAGAUCAGCAGAACUUUUCAGAAGACCGGAACUAUUCCCUGGUCAGGCAGUCAUGGCCAGGGUCCCUGCAGGACAAGGCACAGACAAGGAAAGACAAGCUGCUGCAGUUCUCCCCCAGUGUGGAUGGUGAGUGAUGCCCCCCGCCGACACACACACAC